rnacentral:rRNA from 1 species
ACCCGCUGAAUUUAAGCAUAUAAGUAAGCGGAGGAUAAGAAACUAAAUAGGAUUCCCUUAGUAAUGGCGAAUGAACAGGGAUGAGCUCAAUAUGGAAAUUGUGGCCUCUGGCCUCGAAUUGUAAUCUCAAGAUGUAUUGCCAACGGUGGCGCAGAUGUAAGCCUCUUGGAAAAGAGCAUCAUUGAGGGUGAGAAUCCUGUUUGUCAUCUGCAGUCCUCUGUGUACGGCAUACGUUCUAAGAGUCACGUUCCUCGGGAUUGGAGCGCAAAUUGGGUGGUAAAUUUCAUCUCAAGCUAAAUAUGGGUUCGAAACCGAUAGCAAACAAGUACCAUGAGGGAAAGAUGAAAAGGACUUUGAAAAGAGAGUUAAAAGUGCCUGAACUUGCUGAAAGGAAAGCGGAUGGAACCAGUGUUGCUUGGUGAGAUUGUUGCGCGAUCUAGUGAUUGCUUUCGUUGCUAGCGCAAGCGGUAGCGAUGGUUUUGAUCUUGACUCGCGUGAUGCUUCUUGCCUCGUGUGUCAUCGUCAGUGUGGUGGUGUGGACAACUCUUGGGACAUGGUAGCCUGCCUACGGGUGUGCGAAUGUGCCUUGUAGAACUCACCGCCAUACUGUUCACUCAACGUUGCCUCACUCACUUUAUUGUGGGAUUUGAGGUGCUGUUUAAAGUCGGGGUUCGACUUCUCGUCUCCGACACUCUUUGCAUGCCCGUGGCAACGUUUUUACGGUGACUAAAUGGUUCCAUUCGACCCGUCUUGAAACACGGACCAAGGAGUCUAACAUAUGUGCGAGUUCUUGGGUGGCGAAACCUACGUGCGCAAUGAAAGUGAUUACUGAGAUGCUUGCAUCAGCAGCCGACCGAUCAAUUGGGAGAGGUUUGAGCAUGAGCAUAUCUGUUAGGACCCGAAAGAUGGUGAACUAUGCCUGAGAAGGGUGAAGUCUGGGGAAACUCAGAUGGAGGCUCGUAGCGAUACUGACGUGCAAAUCGUUCGUCAUACUUGGGUAUAGGGGCGAAAGACUAAUCGAACCAUCUAGUAGCUGGUUCCCUCCGA